UGAACGGCCACAUUGGGACUGAGACACGGCCCAGACUCCUACGGGAGGCAGCAGUAGGGAAUUUUCGGCAAUGGGGGAAACCCUGACCGAGCAACGCCGCGUGAGUGAUGACGGCCUUCGGGUUGUAAAGCUCUGUUGUAAGGGAAGAACGGUAGAUAGAGAAUAUCUAAGUGACGGUACCUUACCAGAAAGCCACGGCUAACUACGUGCCAGCAGCCGCGGUAAUACGUAGGUGGCGAGCGUUAUCCGGAAUUAUUGGGCGUAAAGGGUGCGUAGGCGGCCUGUUAAGUAAGUGGUUAAAUUGUUGGGCUCAACCCAAUCCAGCCACUUAAACUGGCAGGCUAGAGUAUUGGAGAGGCAAGUGGAAUUCCAUGUGUAGCGGUAAAAUGCGUAGAUAUAUGGAGGAACACCAGUGGCGAAGGCGGCUUGCUAGCCAAAGACUGACGCUCAUGCACGAAAGCGUGGGGAGCAAAUAGGAUUAGAUACCCUAGUAGUCCACGCCGUAAACGAUGAAUACUAAGUAUUGGGGAAACUCAGUGCUGCAGCUAACGCAAUAAGUAUUCCGCCUGUGGAGUAUGCACGCAAGUGUGAAACAUAAAGGAAUUGACGGGGGCCCGCACAAGCGGUGGAGUAUGUGGUUUAAUUCGACGCAACGCGAAGAACCUUACCAGGUCUUGACAUUGAUGGACAGAACUAGAGAUAGUUCCUCUUCUUCGGAAGCCAGAAAACAGGUGGUGCACGGUUGUCGUCAGCUCGUGUCGUGAGAUGUUGGGUUAAGUCCCGCAACGAGCGCAACCCUUGCCUUCAGUUACCAGCAUUCAGUUGGGGACUCUGGAGGGACUGCCGGUGAUAAACCGGAGGAAGGUGGGGAUGACGUCAAAUCAUCAUGCCCCUUAUGGCCUGGGCUACACACGUACUACAAUGGCUGUUACAACGUGCAGCGACCUAGCGAUAGGAAGCGAAUCACUAAAAGACAGUCUCAGUUCGGAUUGAAGUCUGCAACUCGACUUCAUGAAGCUGGAAUCGCUAGUAAUCGCGGAUCAGAAUGCCGCGGUGAAUACGUUCUCGGGCCUUGUACACACCGCCCGUCAUACCAUGAGAGCUGGUAAUACCCGAAGCCGGUGGCCUAACCGCAAGGAAGGAGCCGUCGAAGGUAGGACUAGUGAUUGGGGUCAAGUCGUAACAAGGUAUCCCUACGAGAACGUGGGGAUG
rnacentral:rRNA from 1 species